AUGGCAGAGCGCUUCUCCAGAGACGAGGCGGCGGCGAACGGCUUCGGCCGCCGUUCGCUCCGCGAACAGGAGUCCUGGCUCCUGUUCCAGGCGAACAUCCCGGCGCCGCCAGACAUGCGCGCCGGGCCGACGGGGUGGCGGCUCAGCGACGGGGGAGUGCCCGUUCCCCCGUUACCCGACGCCGUGGCGAAGCCCAGGUACUUCGCCGAGGAGGUCGAGGUCGCGCACGCCUCCCUGACCGACGACGAGCGCUCCCUCCCCCAGUACGCCGCCGGCAAUCACGCGGCUUGGGCGGCGUACUUCCAGCGCCGCCAGCAGCAGCGCCUGGCCUCCACCAACGACGCGCCGGUGGUCGGCGGCGCGAAGAACAGCGAGGGGCGCCACCUGUGGUGGGGCGUCCCCGGCCGCACGCUGGAUGGCGUGCUGGCGUACCUCGACGGCGGCAACAACCCGCCAUUGACCUAUCCUGCGACGGGGGCCGCCCCGUCGCAACACCGACGCGCAUGGGCGCCAAGGAGGUUCGUCUCCUCGUCUUCCUCUCGCUCAUCUUCCCACUCCUCCGGUUCUCCGGCGCUUCUCGGCGUCAAGGCCGAGCCCGCGGCGGAGACGCCAAUCGGUCGGCGCACUCGCAGCGUCGGCAUCGUCAUCAACGAGGGCGGCCGGCGCGCCUCCUCCUCGUUGGCUCCUCCGCGCUUCGUCAAGCCAAAGAUGGAGCCGGGGCUGGCGCUGGUGAAGACGGAGCCGGGGCUGGCGCCGGUGAAGGCGGAGUUCGACGACGACGACGCGGCCCUAGAAUGGGCGCGCCAGGACUCCAUUGCGAUGGAGAAGGCGCGCCGGGAGAAGGAGAAGGAGCGCCAGCGCGCCGCCCUGCGCCGCUUCGAGGAGCGCCGACGCGGCCGCGAUGAAGACGGGGUCGUCGUCUUAUGCGACAGUGACGACGACGACGACGACGCGCCGCCGCCAGUCCGCCAUGGCGACGCCGGGCAGGGGUCCAGCAGGGGCGCCCGCGUCAAGGAGGAGAAGGCCGACGACGACGAUGGCGGCGACGGCGGCGACGACUUCAGCCCCUUUCUUUUUUAG
rnacentral:rRNA from 1 species